rnacentral:rRNA from 1 species
UACGGGGGGGGGCAAGCGUUGUUCGGAAUUACUGGGCGUAAAGGGCGCGUAGGCGGCCUUCUAAGUCGGACGUGAAAUCCCUCGGCUUAACCGAGGAACUGCGUCCGAUACUGAAAGGCUUGAAUCCGGGAGAGGGAUGUGGAAUUCCAGGUGUAGCGGUGAAAUGCGUAGAUAUCUGGAGGAACACCGGUGGCGAAGGCGGCAUCCUGGACCGAGAUUGACGCUGAGGCGCGAAAGCCAGGGGAGCAAACGGG